rnacentral:siRNA from 1 species
AGCGGAAGAAAAGCGGUCUGUCA